CUGCAGCAGGGUUGGCGGAUUUGGGAAGGAGUGAAGAUGGCGGAGUGAGGCGCAUCGCGGCCAGCCGGCCUUUGGGCCGGGGGCGUGAAGGCCCCCGGACGGUCGAGUGCUUCUACUGGCUGGUGAGAGGAAGAACAUUUUCUCUGGCUUCCAGGUGCUUUUAUCUUCAUCUCGAGAAGAAAAUAAAAUUCUGAACUCAGGAUUUGGCAAGUAUUGUGUGUUUCUCCUGGAGUGGUUAGUUCUUCUUCUUUUAUCCAGCCACUUUCCCUGUUCUUGAAAUGUGGAUAUCUCUUCUCUACAUGUUGUACCUCCAUGAUUUGGAUUGGAAAAGGCUGCUUUUCUUUUGGUUCCACAUCUCAGAUUCAACAUAGAGAAG